ACUCUCCAUCCCCGAAUAACCCGAGGGGUCCAAGCGGAUAUUGCAGACAUACAUAGGCAGGGUUUUUUUUCAGAUGCAGUUUCUCAGGAUUGGAUUAAUCCUGAUUGGAUUUCUCAGGCAGCACUGGGUCCUUUUGCAGGAGAAAGGAGAUUCCGUUAGUGGUUUUAGAACGGUUUUUAAGACGCUGGGUUAGUGGUUCUAGAACAGUUCUUUGACCAAACAGUUCAGACGCUGACUCGACACAAAGCCUGGCCCACUACACAAGAGGUCGGUCGCAAAGACCAAGGUCCCUACCUUCAGACGGCUGACGUUCAGCGGCCAGGACUCUCACGCCCCGAACUGCAGGAACAGGUCUCACGAACCAGUGGGGGCGUCGCUUUCCAGGGGCUGAGGCUCCGGCUCCUCCGGGAACGCGGCAGGGAGAAGAGGCCGACGACGCGCGGGGCCGGAGCCGUCCGGAUGAGGGCGCUCGGGAGGAACCAGGCCGCCGCGGCCGCCGGGGCGUGUGGAGGGCGGGCCACGCUGGCCACCGGGCCCGUGUCGCCCUCGUUCGCCGCGCUCUCGGGCGCACCGUCGUCGGUUCUUACAUUCGCCUGGACGGGGACGGCCUCGGCCCUCGGCCCUCAGCCCUAGGCCCUCAGCCCUCAGCCCCUCAGCCCCUCAGCCCUCGGCCCUCAGCCCUCAGCCCCUCAGCCCUCGGCCCUCAGCCCUCAGCCCCUCAGCCCCUCAGCCCUCGGCCCUCAGCCCCUCAGCCCUCGGCCCUCAGCCCUCAGCCCCUCAGCCCUCGGCCCUCAGCCCCUCAGCCCUCGGCCCUCAGCCCCUCAGCCCUCGGCCCUCAGCCCCUCAGCCCUCGGCCCUCAGCCCUCAGCCCGGCUUGGGGAGCCGCCUCGCGGGGACAAACCCGCCUCAGGUACCUCUCCCGGCGGAACCCUCAGCCAUGGCGCCGCCCCCCCGCCGCCACUUCCCUCAUUUGCCAUCUUUAUUUCUUUGGUUCACUUCCCAUUUGCGUUCCAGAUGAUAAAAUCUAUCUUCUGCUUAUAUUACUUGUUUAAAAUUCACUAGGAUCACCAGAGACUUCUAUAUUGUGAAAACUCAAUAGCAGUCGUAUCUUACAGGACCUCUAAGCUAUAGUCAAUAUUAUCGAUCACUUCUGUCUCUCUUUUUUAAUGUUUAUUGCUUCACCUUUGAAGAGGCUUGUUUUGAUGCCCACCUCCCUACACACACAUCUCUCCCCACAAACACCACACAUGUGUGUACAUACGAAUAUGUAUGUCUAUAUAGAGACAUAGAUGCCUGACCCUGGAUCUAGUUGUUAAAUAGAUCUCGCCCUCAUUUCUAAGGAAACGGAUUUUGCUUCCUGUGGAAAAAAAAAAAGAAGUUGUUAUAUGUGUCUGGGCUACCCUGGCUAGCUAGAUGUUUUCAAGUCUGCCUGUGGUAGUUCAGACAAUAAGGCCCUAAGUGAUGUAGUGCCUGAUUUUUAUUAUCCUUCCCAACCACAACCACAAAAUUCUAGCAGCUAUUUCGGAUUUUCCCCUCCUUUUGUCAAUGUCAAAAUACAGUGAAGAGCUUCACGAUCCCAUCCAACUUGAUAACAAUUAGAGUUAUUUUUAUACCCAAUAAAAAGUGCCAUUGUGAAUGGCCCA
rnacentral:lncRNA from 12 species